GACGAACGCUGGCGGCGUGCUUAACACAUGCAAGUCGAACGGAAAGGCCCUGCUUUUGUGGGGUGCUCGAGUGGCGAACGGGUGAGUAACACGUGAGUAACCUGCCCUUGACUUUGGGAUAACUUCAGGAAACUGGGGCUAAUACCGGAUAGGAGCUCCUGCUGCAUGGUGGGGGUUGGAAAGUUUCGGCGGUUGGGGAUGGACUCGCGGCUUAUCAGCUUGUUGGUGGGGUAGUGGCUUACCAAGGCUUUGACGGGUAGCCGGCCUGAGAGGGUGACCGGCCACAUUGGGACUGAGAUACGGCCCAGACUCCUACGGGAGGCAGCAGUGGGGAAUAUUGCACAAUGGGCGGAAGCCUGAUGCAGCAACGCCGCGUGCGGGAUGACGGCCUUCGGGUUGUAAACCGCUUUCGCCUGUGACGAAGCGUGAGUGACGGUAAUGGGUAAAGAAGCACCGGCUAACUACGUGCCAGCAGCCGCGGUGAUACGUAGGGUGCGAGCGUUGUCCGGAUUUAUUGGGCGUAAAGGGCUCGUAGGUGGUUGAUCGCGUCGGAAGUGUAAUCUUGGGGCUUAACCCUGAGCGUGCUUUCGAUACGGGUUGACUUGAGGAAGGUAGGGGAGAAUGGAAUUCCUGGUGGAGCGGUGGAAUGCGCAGAUAUCAGGAGGAACACCAGUGGCGAAGGCGGUUCUCUGGGCCUUUCCUGACGCUGAGGAGCGAAAGCGUGGGGAGCGAACAGGCCUAGAUACCCUGGUAGUCCACGCUGUAAACGGUGGGUACUAGGUGUGGGGUCCAUUCCACGGGUUCCGUGCCGUAGCUAACGCUUUAAGUACCCCGCCUGGGGAGUACGGCCGCAAGGCUAAAACUCAAAGGAAUUGACGGGGCCCCGCACAAGCGGCGGAGCAUGCGGAUUAAUUCGAUGCAACGCGUAGAACCUUACCUGGGUUUGACAUGGAUCGGGAGCGCUCAGAGAUGGGUGUGCCUCUUUUGGGGUCGGUUCACAGGUGGUGCAUGGCUGUCGUCAGCUCGUGUCGUGAGAUGUUGGGUUAAGUCCCGCAACGAGCGCAACCCUUGUUCACUGUUGCCAGCACGUUAUGGUGGGGACUCAGUGGAGACCGCCGGGGUCAACUCGGAGGAAGGUGGGGAUGACGUCAAGUCAUCAUGCCCCUUAUGUCCAGGGCUUCACGCAUGCUACAAUGGCUGGUACAGAGAGUGGCGAGCCUGUGAGGGUGAGCGAAUCUCGGAAAGCCGGUCUCAGUUCGGAUUGGGGUCUGCAACUCGACCUCAUGAAGUCGGAGUCGCUAGUAAUCGCAGAUCAGCAACGCUGCGGUGAAUACGUUCCCGGG
rnacentral:rRNA from 1 species